CCACGUUUAUACGUAGCAGGGUAUUUAUAGAAACAAAUAUUCCCCCCCCUCCGUUUUCCAAAAUAACAUUGUGCACACAUCUUUUUCAAAAAAGUUGUCGUUUACAUCAAAACGCAUAAAUACGCCGUUGAGCGCCAUUAUAACUAUGCCAAACCUAUGGGCGGCAGUGUAGGAAGAAGGAUAAAGCCAUGAAAGCCAAUCAGAAUCCUCAGAAUCAACAACAACGAAUAACACGAGGGUCUUCCUGUAACAAACAAACAGGAAACAUAGGACGCUCAUAUGACGUUAAGCAUUUCCUGGCGCAUAAUGUGACGCUUCAGAACCUGAAACCCCGUUUCUCCCCAUUGACACGACAACACAUAACCGGCGUUUUCAGAAAUCUCCACUUCGGCCAGAGUUUUUGGAAAUGAUUGUUUUCUGUGAUAAAAACUGCGUUUUCGUGUAAAUGAGAGGCCAAACCGCGUGGAAAUAUCUGCGUUUUCCCUUUGUGUAAACGAGGCCUUAAUUUUCCGCCAAAGAUGUUGACGUCGCUCAGCAACCGAAGACGCUGGAGUUGACAAGUUACCGGACUACUUGCGGAGUGAUACCAAAGACGCCAUUAGAGGCAAAAAAUCCUCUGUUUACUUUGACAGCGGUCAAUUAUACUUGGCAACGGCGAAUUAUCAAAUAUAAUUCACCGCUGGAAGUUGUGAAGGGCCCAUGCAAGUGAACAGAGCGUUAAUAAUAUAAAUAAUAACAUAAUUUUCUCUUUUUGAGAUCUGUACCACAAGCAUUGUGGGGGGCGGGCCCGGCCCCCUAUGGCCUGCCCAUAGCGACGGGCCUGGCCCUGACCCAUCAUUGUGAAUUGUAUUCUUAAGUGGGAUGGCCUUCUUUGUCCACCAAGGGCCUCAUUACAGAAAACUCCUAAUUCUGAAAUCCUAUCCUAUCUUGAGAUAGGAAGGCAUUUAGGGGUUUUGAUAUUACAGAAGGAGGUUUCCUAACUUAAUUUCAGAAGAAAUCCUAUCUUAUCUUAAGAUAGGAAUUUAGCCAUUACAGAACUAUGCUAAGUUAGGAAUUUCUUAAGUAAGGAUCCCUAAGUUAGGUGGCCAUACACCCUGUCCUAAAUUCAAAAUAACUGUCAAUAACAGAAGAAAAUGGUAGCAGCACUGCUAGUAGGUCUGUAUGACAAUGAAGACGAGGAACAUCACAGCAGAAAUGUGAUGGCUAAAAGGCUACAGAGACCGCAUAAUGAUUUGUUAUAUUUGCAUUUUCAUUUCAUUUUAUCGCCAGCAAAGACAUUUCAUUUUAAAUUUGGUGGAAGAAUUAUUUUACUACUUUAUUACUACCUCUUCUUGUUCUCUGUACCAAUACCCGCCAUGACCGUAGUACUAGUGCUACUAGCUUGCCGUCAUUAACAAAGAUCCUCAACAGUCUCUGUUAACGUUAAAAGUAACUCAUUCUAUCAAUCUCAUGCACACUC